CCUGUUCCUCUGGAAGCUGGCUGUUUCCCUUGUAAGGGGGAGGAAUCGGUGACCCAACCGAAAAAGUCAUGAAAAACAGAGAGAAGGUUGCGAACAGCAAAGUAUGGCGUAACCUGUGGUUAACUCACUUCCUGCUAGGGUGGGAAGGGUGAGUUUUGAUCCCUGCAUUUUCUGACACGGAGGAGAACUUGAGUCUGCCUCUGCUUUCUGACUCGUGUGACACAGCUUGGUCACAUCCCUAAUGUGUGUGAGGACAAAAGGCUGUAUUGUGCAUGAGGAGAAAUCCACCUGAGCUGCACAGGAGUCACAUCAUGCUCCUGCAGAUCUCCUGCCUGGGAGACCGGGGAUGGGACAUUCCUACAAGAGCACCUGCCUUGAACACAGCUAUAGCACGGAGCGCUGUAUCCAUGAAAUGUACAUUUUGCACUCUGAUGAGAUGGAUUUGCUACUUUUUUUUUUUUUUUUCUCAUUCAAGUCAACUGUUCUUUUAUGUGGAAGAAGUCAGGAAUAGGCUUUUUGUAAUUUAUUUAAAAUAGCAAGAGUCCAACCUAAUAUGAAUUUUCCAAUGAUAACCACUCCAUGUCACUAAUGAAUAAGUACUUCUAUACCAUUUUGGAGAACUGCCACCAUUAAGAAGUCUGCUUUUUCAGAAGGAGAACUGUUCACUAGGAAAGGAAAGGUCAAAGGCAAUUAUUUUGUCUAAAUCAUCAUGACUAUUUCUUUUGAUAAGCUCUCUAACAAUUCCUGGCAUGGCCCUUAAACUGACUGAAAAUCUAGCUUGAAUAGCCUUAUCAUUGAAUGUUUGUAGUGUCAUUUUCUAUCCUGAGUUUUCAUUUUAGGCCAGUAUUGGAAAUGAAAAAAUAAUGCUGUCUUGUUUCGUCCUGAAAUGUACCAGGCCGUACCUAAUGGCUUCCCAGUUCCUUUCUUUAUUUAUUACAGCCCAGAGAAUGCACUGUAAGAAUUUAUUCAAUGGGAGAGGGAGACAUUUUUUCAGGCCCUUCUAAGAUAUCCCUGCUUAGUACUACAAUGUAGCAUAAUUAGCAAGUGGUCCUGAUAGAAGAUUAUUAGAGAAUAUCCUAGACCAUCCUAGCAAGAGUGCAUUGAAGGAUUUAAUUAAUUUUAUUUAUCUAAAACACACAUCUAAAGAAGUAGUAUUUCCUUCUAAAACCCUACCUGACUUCUCUACUACUUCUAUUACUUACUUCUGAUUUCAAAAAUUGCAUAGUGGUGAGCUUUGUAUGAGCAUUUUAGGCGCAUCCUCCCCUUACAGAUUUACUGAAGUACAAGAGACUUGUGCAUCAGACAAAACCUGGAGCAGUAGCUUGCCAUCACCUGUGGCAUCUCCUUAGGAUACAACAAACUCUUUGACUCCUUGUUCUUGAGAAAGGGUGGGAAGAGACAGUACAGAUUCUGCUGCAGGAAGAGCAGCAAAGAAACAAAUUAGUUUGCCAUUUUGUUUCCUUUGCUUCCCACUUUUGGUCCAAGAGCCAGUGAAGGGUGAGGUGGAGGCCCUGGGAGGGGACAGGGCAGUGCCAUGGUGAAGCCAUCAGCUGCUGAGGAUGUUUCAGUCUUUUUUCCAUUCAGGUGCCUGGGUAGCCUACAGGUUUUAAGUACAUUUAAUUCCAUCCUGGUGUUGGAUUCUCUAGGACUAGUAAAGCCUAAUCAGAUAUACCUAACAAGAGUAAUAAUAGGAACAGCAGUAACAGAAACUCGUUCAUAAACAGACCUGUGAAAUUACAUGAAGUAAGCUAGAGCUGUAUAGGACAGAACAAAACCAAGGACAGAAUAAAAAUAGGACAGAAUAAAAAGGACAGAAUAAAAAGCAGAUGGGCAUGUGGUUAACAGAGAGGAAUAUAUUUUUUGAUAUGGGAAGGCAGACGAUCUAUUUUUGAUCAACCAUAUCUUCACUGUCAAUAUAAACUACAGUUAGGGUGUAAAUGUGUUAGGAGGUAAUGUGUUUAUAUGAAACCAUAUUUUGCUUAGGUAAUUCUCACAAACUAAAUAUAUUGACCACCGAUAAUCCUUUGCAGUUUCUUCUACACAUCUACUGUUAUUGUCUAUAAGAAAUGUUUGCGAUAAUUUGUUCGAUGGUUUUAAUUUAUAUUAAGGAAACCAUAAACCAUGUCAUAGGUUUCUGCCUAGAUCCGAGUUCACAUGCAUAUGGAAGGAAUGACUUUCUAGGGUGGGAUUACUUUCCUUUUCUUUCCCUGCACAUGUAAGCCUGCCUGGUUCCAGUAAUUAUCAUGGAGCUGAAAAACAGUCUUUGUUGCCUAAUCUCACACUGACUGUGUUUUUACACAGCUCGUGCUUCCAGGGACAUGUCAACAUGAGAACGUCUGAGACUGCCAGCUUCUGCUUUUCUUUAAAAAGGUCUGAGAUUUCCCGGUUGCAGACAAAGAUUUGGAAAGAUGAAUACUAAAGCCCAUAUGGAUCUACAAUUUAUUGUUCAAUCAAUCUCAAGAUUUUGGAAUAACUCAAGUUAUCAAAAUUAUUUUCCCACACAUUUAUUUGUCUUCUUUUUCACAACAGGGAGGGAAGGAAGAAAGAGAGGAAUCCACAGACUGAACUUUUUAUUUCUAUGUGAGCUGUGCAAGGGAAAGGCUGGUUACUUAGAUUCCUUCCUCCUCAUUACCCUGACACACAUAAGGGCCACGCUCAGUUUGGCUCCCGGGCAGAACCAAUCAUGGUAGCAAUUUACUGAAAAACAUGAUGAAAUAAGAUCCUUAAAGUUGACAAUGCCUGAUGUUCGGAAUUAAUUAAAAUACACUUUUGUUCAUGAAAUAGCAUGAACUGGAAUGCUCUCCCUUCCUCAGAAAUACACAAAUAUUAGGAGCAGCUUCCUGUCAGCCAGAGCAAAAGGUACUUCAUGCCUUUGGACCUCAGUUCCAGGCACCAGCACCUUCCAGUUUCUACUUUUUUUUUUUUUUUUUUGGCCCACUUUACAUGGGCUCUUUAUUGCUCAAAUUAAUCUGCUGGCUGGAUUAAAUUCUUGUUUUUAAAUUUGAGAGGAAAACGGACAAAGAGAAAUCCAAGAAGAAAUUGAGCAAAGCAUGACACGGAGGUGAAAUCUUGUUUUCCACAUAUGGGGCCAAAUGUGAAGUCAGUGGAGUAACUUUGAACUUACAGCAGUGGAGCUGAAAGCAGGAUUUGGCCCCUGAAGUCGUGGAUUACCAGAUUUAGAGCCGAAUGUCUGUAGUCCCAUUUCAGUUUGGCUCUGAGAAAAUAUGAGUUCUGGACAUGGUCCCAACUAGACGGGAAUUAUUUCAAACAAUAAUCUUUUUGUUUGCAUAGCAUAGGGUUUCACUUAGUUAUAAAUACAUCUUUUAAAUUAAAUUUCCCUUGAAAAACAAUGAUUUAAGGAACAAAGUGGUUUGUUAAACUCCGGGUAUUUUCAGUGAAAUCUAGAACUUGGGGUGGGGGCUAUUGGAAGUCCAAACCACCGUUUAGUUUUGCCAUGACCACAAGAAUAGGAUGUUCAAUCACAAGCAGAGAGUAAGCUGGCCUCACAGUUGCCUUUGCUUUUCCUGUAACAAGACAAAAAAAAAUCACAGGCAGCAAUGGCACAGAUUUGUUUUUCUCUCUCCCUCUCUUCACUCAGAGAGGACAGGCAAACCAUGGCCUUCAAAACACUUCAUCUGUGGACCACACACAGAGCCUGAGGUUAACGCUAUUAUUGCUCCUUUGUCAGGCCUUUUUUGUCAGCUCUGCCAGAUGAAUUGUUCAUUUCUUUAUUAAAUAAGAUUCUUUUCCAGUAGCUGUCUCCCUUAACCUCAAAAUAAACCCUUUCCCUAGAAGGGGAAGAUCAGCUGCUCACAGUUGUCCCCAUGGAAAAAUGGCAGGGUAAACAUUUCACCAAGGGACAUUGUAGAGGGCUCCCCGAACCCCUUACAUUAAAGUUCAAACAAACAAAAACUAAAUGUAUUUUUCCUCUCACUUUGGGGCUAAAGAGUCAGCAUAUGGUAUUUAUGCUGGACUCUGAUUAAUUCAUUUCAGAGAAAACUGACCUUCAAAAAGUAGAACAAAAUAAGGGCUAUUUAUUAUUAUUAUUAUUAUCAUUAUUGUUAUUAUUAUUACUAUUUUUACAAAAUGUUAAUUUUUUCUUAAAUGGACAGCUAUCUAUGAAACAGAAAACAAAACAAAACAAAACAAAACUCUUUCUAGAAAUCCUUUUUGCUUUCUGGUAUUUUUCAAGAAAUGAGCAGCAACAUCAGGGCUGUUACCUCAAAGGAAGAUCCCUGCCCUGUGUGUUUGGGGCAGCUGUAACUUAAAGUAUCAGCAUUUCAAAGACUUCAGAAGGUUCCCCAAGACUUUCAGACUACCAUUACUUCUCCUUGUUCGUUUUUCAGUUCACUGAAAACUGACCCUCUUCAUUGCCCUAGGGCUAUGAAAAUAAUUUCUGGAUCCAGGGGUCCGACUUUCUCUUUUUUAUUCUCUGUAGGAUAAAUUUCCUUCUGGUGCAGCCUUUUUUUUUUACCCCUCCCUUUGUCUUCCUGUUUUCUCUCGCCAGUUCUCUUCCUUGCAUAUUAACCCCUCGCUUGUUCAUCUGCCCUAUUACACAUUGUAUUUCACCUUCAGGCUCCACUCUUUGCCCUCUUCACAGAAUUAUGGGUUGGUUGAGGUGGGAAGGGACCUCUGGAGGCCACCUGGUCCAGCUCCCUGCUCCAGCAGGGCCACCUACAGCAGGUUGCCCAGGACCGUGUCCCAGCAGCUUUGGAAGAUCAUCAGAAACACACCCAGCCCUGGCACUGAGGGGAAAGUCCCACUCCAGAAUGGGGUGGUAAGACUUGGUGUGAGCCUUGGGGCCAAUGGAUCCCAGGUGCUACCUUAUCUGUCUCCGCACCUGGUCCAGAAGCACUCAUGAUCUGACCAGAUUGGGAUCUGAUUUCCUCUUUGGUUGACUGGCAGGUGCAAGUUAAUCUUUCCUUUCAGAUGCCCUCAACAAUGUGGGAAAUAUUUUAAUUUCCACCAUCUGGGUUUUGUACUACAUGAGAAAGAGGAUUUCCUAUUUUUCAGUGGGUAUGCCAUCUGGAUGAACGGUGUCUUCCCAAGGGAGGCUAUUUUUGCAGGAGUUUUCCCACCAGGAAAGGCCAGCCGGCACACCAAGUUGGAAACACUGCGAUCAAAUCCAAACUAGCAGAGGGAACUGCACGCAAGAGACCAUGAAGUGACCAAUAGAACUCCAAACGUCAUCAGGAGACAUGCUCAAGUGCAUGCUACGAAAUCACAGCUGUUCAUCGUGUCACUGGAAAGUGCAGGAAGUGCAGCUGAUGGGAUGUUUCACCGGCAGGUCUGAAGGAAGCUGUGCUGUCUGUGGAGAACACCGGCAGAUGAAAAUGGAAAGCGUCUCACUGCAUGUAUCGCAGGCCCCCACUGCCAGCAGCUGACCACGGUGUGGGCAACACCUGGUGACAGCAAGGGGGCAAGUUACAGGAUUAAAGAGGCACAGGUUUCUGUCUAUCAGUCACUGGCACAGCCCAACAAAACUUGGAGCCAAUAAAAACAGAUGGCAAGGAACCAUCACUGAAUGUGGUAAAAACAAAAGCCAAACUAUUUAUUCUAACUAAAAGUAGGUGAGCAAAAAGCCACUCUUAGGAGCAGACUCAGCCAGCUCGGAAUCCCAUCGAAGCAGCCAAGGAGGACAUUCCAGAGAAACUGGGGAAAAACUGGGAACAGCAUGUUCAGCUACUUUCCCUGAUGAAAAUUUCCCUGAGUUAAAAUAAAAACAUGACAUCCCAAAAUGUCUGACCAAAAGGCUUGCUUUUCCCACAGGGCUUUGUAAAUGCGAAUUGCGAGAAGUUAGUGUUGUUGAAAGGAAGAGAACUGAACCAUCUGAAACGUGGUGCUGGCAGAUAUCCUUGUGUGACUGCUGGGCAGGGAAGGAGAGCAGCAAUGUUAGGAACACUGCUAGGGAAAGCCAGGGAUGUAUCUGUGGGAAGCUGAUCACAGCAAGGUAUGAGACAACCAGUAGAGAGGUGAAAGCAAUUAACUCGGUAAGUGUUAUCAGAAAUAUUUGGGCAGCUUGCAUAGCAAAGUACUCCUGAAAGAGCAUAGGGAACAUCUGAGUGGCAUGAAAGGAAAACCAAUCCACUAGGAAAAUGGGAACAUAAAGAAUACAAUGCAGUUAUUGCAGUUAUUAGAGAGGAUCUUUUAUCAGAUCAUGAUAUUUUAUCAGCAGAUUCAUCCACAGUUGACACAUAGACACCACACGCUGUCAAAUUUACAUUGCGUGCUAAAUUAAUUUCUCUCUAUAUAUUUUUUUCAUUCAGUAGACAGUUAACCUAACCACACUUGCCUAACAAUAUAUUAGCUUUUAUUUAUUUCAUUUCUUAUAUUUUCAUUUCAGUAGCAUUUUGUGUAAGUAAAUCCUGGAGUCCGGUAACUGCUAGCUAUCUCCGAACGCAUGUAUCUGUGUAAAAGAACUGAAUUUAUGUGAGCCUGAAUAUCCUUAAUGGAUAAAAGUUCUUGGCAACCAUGAAGCAAAGGGAAACGUACUGGCUAUAAAAAUUGAUGAAGCGAGCAUUUUUGAAUUUCUCACUUCUUAGAGAUCUUUUCCAAAGAACUAAGCAUAUCUUUUCCAACCAGUGGAAUGUGGCUGAAAAUGCAGUGUUGCAAUAAGUGUCUAUCUAGUCCAGGACAACAGGUUAUGUUUUCAGACAUACUAGCAAAAACUUCAUUUAUUUAACCCAUUUUUAAAUACUAUUUAGCCUUCUGCAUGAACAAUGACAGGAAAAAAAAAAAAAUGAGGCCUAUGAAUAGCUAACAGAUUUUUCCUAAGCCCUAACUGUAAAGGGAACUGAAUUUCAUUUAAAGUACAUUCAAACAGGUACUGAUGCAUUAAGAAGAAGACCUUUCUGUCUUUAAAUCAUUCACAGCUGGCAUUGUCCCAUCAGUGAUGAAUUAUACGACAUUUGAUGAUACCGUGCUUGAUGCUACACAAAUACCCAAAUGGGGAAAAUGCAAUUUUAUCCCAUGGAGUUUCUCAUCUAAAAGACAAAGCAGACAAGCCAGAAUACAAGGACUAAAUUCCAAAACUUAUGUUUGGUUGUGUGCCUCCCUCCACUCUUUCUUUGUCUUGAUGGCGGUCUACAAGUGUCCCAGCCCAUAUCUUGCAGUGAUGCUCACACAGUGGUGGUUGACUCCUCCCCUGCUGGCAGGAAAUUAACCUCCAAGGGCUUCUACUUUGAACCUUGCAGAACUGGCUUUGUCAUUAUGAAAAGAUGAGCUUACUGGAAGGCAAAAUCCUAAAUUAAAUAAAAACUUGUGCUUGUCAUUAAGAAAUCUUCAUAUAACUUUUGCAGCACAGAAACAUAAUCACCGUAUCAACCACAUCUGGAAGGUGCUUCGGUUUAUUCAGGAGGAGACACUGGAAUGUGAACGCGGGCUAGGCUGGGCCAUAAUAAACUUUAAGAAUGCAAAUCA